rnacentral:rRNA from 1 species
GUGGGGUAAUGGCCUACCAAGGCGACGACGGGUAGCCGGCCUGAGAGGGCGACCGGCCACACUGGGACUGAGACACGGCCCAGACUCCUACGGGAGGCAGCAGUGGGGAAUAUUGCACAAUGGGCGAAAGCCUGAUGCAGCGACGCCGCGUGAGGGAUGACGGCCUUCGGGUUGUAAACCUCUUUCAGCAGGGACGAAGCGAAAGUGACGGUACCUGCAGAAGAAGCACCGGCCAACUACGUGCCAGCAGCCGCGGUAAUACGUAGGGUGCAAGCGUUGUCCGGAAUUAUUGGGCGUAAAGAGCUCGUAGGCGGCUUGUCACGUCGGCUGUGAAAACCUGGGGCUCAACCCCGGGCCUGCAGCCGAUACGGGCUAGCUAGAAUUCGGUAGGGGAGACUGGAAUUCCUGGUGUAGCGGUGAAAUGCGCAGAUAUCAGGAGGAACACCGGUGGCGAAGGCGGGUCUCUGGGCCGAUAUUGACGCUGAGGAGCGAAAGCGUGGGGAGCGAACAGGAUUAGAUACCCUGGUAGUCCACGCCGUAAACGGUGGGAACUAGGUGUGGGCCACAUUCCACGUGGUCUGUGCCGCAGCUAACGCAUUAAGUU